rnacentral:rRNA from 1 species
UACGGGGGGGGCAAGCGUUGUUCGGAAUUACUGGGCGUAAAGGGUUCGUAGGUGGCUUGUUAAGUCAGACGUGAAAUCCCUCGGCUCAACCGGGGAACUGCGUCUGAGACUGAUGAGCUCGAGUGCAGGAGAGGAACGCGGAAUUCCAGGUGUAGCGGUGAAAUGCGUAGAUAUCUGGAGGAACACCGGUGGCGAAGGCGGCUCACUGGACCGGUACUGACGCUGAUGCGCGAAAGCGUGGGGAGCAAACGGG